UCGCACCUACCGAUUGAAUGUUUCGGUGAAGAUUCCGGACCGUGGCUCGCGCGCUUCACGGCGCUCUUGCCGUGGGAAGUUAUCUAAACCUCAACAUUUAGAGGAAGGUG
rnacentral:rRNA from 1 species